rnacentral:rRNA from 1 species
AUUGAACGCUGGCGGCAUGCUUUACGCAUGCAAGUCGAACGGCAGCGCGGGCUUCGGCCUGGCGGCGAGUGGCGAACGGGUGAGUAAUACAUCGGAACGUGCCCAGUAGUGGGGGAUAGCUCGGCGAAAGCCGGAUUAAUACCGCAUACGACCUGAGGGUGAAAGCGGGGGAUCUUCGGACCUCGCGCUAUUGGAGCGGCCGAUGACAGAUUAGCUAGUUGGUGGGGUAAAGGCCUACCAAGGCGACGAUCUGUAGCUGGUCUGAGAGGACGACCAGCCACACUGGGACUGAGACACGGCCCAGACUCCUACGGGAGGCAGCAGUGGGGAAUUUUGGACAAUGGGCGAAAGCCUGAUCCAGCAAUGCCGCGUGUGUGAUGAAGGCCUUCGGGUUGUAAAGCACUUUUGGCGGGAAAGAAAAGGACUGUGCCAAUACCACGGUUCGAUGACGGUACCCGCAGAAUAAGCACCGGCUAACUACGUG